GACGAACGCUGGCGGCGUGCCUAAUACAUGCAAGUAGAACGCUGAAGAGAGGAGCUUGCUCUUCUUGGAUGAGUUGCGAACGGGUGAGUAACGCGUAGGUAACCUGCCUUGUAGCGGGGGAUAACUAUUGGAAACGAUAGCUAAUACCGCAUAACAAUGGAUGACACAUGUCAUUUAUUUGAAAGGGGCAAUUGCUCCACUACAAGAUGGACCUGCGUUGUAUUAGCUAGUAGGUGAGGUAACGGCUCACCUAGGCGACGAUACAUAGCCGACCUGAGAGGGUGAUCGGCCACACUGGGACUGAGACACGGCCCAGACUCCUACGGGAGGCAGCAGUAGGGAAUCUUCGGCAAUGGGGGCAACCCUGACCGAGCAACGCCGCGUGAGUGAAGAAGGUUUUCGGAUCGUAAAGCUCUGUUGUAGGUCAAGAACGAGUGUGAGAGUGGAAAGUUCACACUGUGACGGUAGCUUACCAGAAAGGGACGGCUAACUACGUGCCAGCAGCCGCGGUAAUACGUAGGUCCCGAGCGUUGUCCGGAUUUAUUGGGCGUAAAGCGAGCGCAGGCGGUUUGAUAAGUCUGAAGUUAAAGGCUGUGGCUCAACCAUAGUUCGCUUUGGAAACUGUCAAACUUGAGUGCAGAAGGGGAGAGUGGAAUUCCAUGUGUAGCGGUGAAAUGCGUAGAUAUAUGGAGGAACACCGGUGGCGAAAGCGGCUCUCUGGUCUGUAACUGACGCUGAGGCUCGAAAGCGUGGGGAGCGAACAGGAUUAGAUACCCUGGUAGUCCACGCCGUAAACGAUGAGUGCUAGGUGUUGGAUCCUUUCCGGGAUUCAGUGCCGCAGCUAACGCAUUAAGCACUCCGCCUGGGGAGUACGACCGCAAGGUUGAAACUCAAAGGAAUUGACGGGGGCCCGCACAAGCGGUGGAGCAUGUGGUUUAAUUCGAAGCAACGCGAAGAACCUUACCAGGUCUUGACAUCCCGAUGCUAUUUCUAGAGAUAGAAAGUUACUUCGGUACAUCGGUGACAGGUGGUGCAUGGUUGUCGUCAGCUCGUGUCGUGAGAUGUUGGGUUAAGUCCCGCAACGAGCGCAACCCCUAUUGUUAGUUGCCAUCAUUCAGUUGGGCACUCUAGCGAGACUGCCGGUAAUAAACCGGAGGAAGGUGGGGAUGACGUCAAAUCAUCAUGCCCCUUAUGACCUGGGCUACACACGUGCUACAAUGGUCGGUACAACGAGUUGCGAGUCGGUGACGGCAAGCUAAUCUCUUAAAGCCAAUCUCAGUUCGGAUUGUAGGCUGCAACUCGCCUACAUGAAGUCGGAAUCGCUAGUAAUCGCGGAUCAGCACGCCGCGGUGAAUACGUUCCCGGGCCU
rnacentral:rRNA from 1 species